GUGAACCAGUACCGUGAGGGAAAGGCGAAAAGAACCCCGGCGAGGGGAGUGAAAAAGAACCUGAAACCGUGUACGUACAAGCAGUGGGAGCCUCUUUAUGGGGUGACUGCGUACCUUUUGUAUAAUGGGUCAGCGACUUAUAUUCUGUAGCAAGGUUAACCGAAUAGGGGAGCCGAAGGGAAACCGAGUCUUAACUGGGCGUUAAGUUGCAGGGUAUAGACCCGAAACCCGGUGAUCUAGCCAUGGGCAGGUUGAAGGUUGGGUAACACUAACUGGAGGACCGAACCGACUAAUGUUGAAAAAUUAGCGGAUGACUUGUGGCUGGGGGUGAAAGGCCAAUCAAACCGGGAGAUAGCUGGUUCUCCCCGAAAGCUAUUUAGGUAGCGCCUCGUGAAUUCAUCUCCGGGGGUAGAGCACUGUUUCGGCAAGGGGGUCAUCCCGACUUACCAACCCGAUGCAAACUGCGAAUACCGGAGAAUGUUAUCACGGGAGACACACGGCGGGUGCUAACGUCCGUCGUGAAGAGGGAAACAACCCAGACCGCCAGCUAAGGUCCCAAAGUCAUGGUUAAGUGGGAAACGAUGUGGGAAGGCCCAGACAGCCAGGAUGUUGGCUUAGAAGCAGCCAUCAUUUAAAGAAAGCGUAAUAGCUCACUGGUCGAGUCGGCCUGCGCGGAAGAUGUAACGGGGCUAAACCAUGCACCGAAGCUGCGGCAGCGACACUAUGUGUUGUUGGGUAGGGGAGCGUUCUGUAAGCCUGUGAAGGUGGCCUGUGAGGGUUGCUGGAGGUAUCAGAAGUGCGAAUGCUGACAUAAGUAACGAUAAAGCGGGUGAAAAGCCCGCUCGCCGGAAGACCAAGGGUUCCUGUCCAACGUUAAUCGGGGCAGGGUGAGUCGACCCCUAAGGCGAGGCCGAAAGGCGUAGUCGAUGGGAAACAGGUUAAUAUUCCUGUACUUGGUGUUACUGCGAAGGGGGGACGGAGAAGGCUAUGUUGGCCGGGCGACGGUUGUCCCGGUU
rnacentral:rRNA from 1 species